CCCUUAGAUGUUCUGGGCUGCACGCGCGCUACACUGACGGAGGCAGCGAGCGUGUCCUUCGCCGGCAGGUGCGGGCAAUCUUGCGAGUCUCCGUCGUGCUGGGGAUAGAUGGUUGCAAUUGUCGAUCUUGAACGAGGAAUUCCUAGUAAGCGCGAGUCAUCAGCUCGCGCUGAUUACGUCCCUGCCCUUUGUACACACCGCCCGUCGCUACUACAGAGUGCCCGUGUCCAAGAAACGGUCGGACCUGUGCGGCCUCUCCGGGCGACCGGAGGGCCGUUACGGGGAAGACCCUUUAUUUGACGCGGGUCGAUGAAGUAAAAGUCGUAACA
rnacentral:rRNA from 1 species